UAAAUCUUGAGGACUUUAUGGUAAGUUAAAUAUCUGUCAAACAAAGACAAAUAUUUCUUAUUUCCACUUACAGGGGUCAUGUGAAAUAGUCAAAUGCGUAGAACAAAAGAGUGUAAUGGUGGUUGCCAGGGCUGUGGGGAGGAGAAAAUGAGGAGCUACUCAUCAAUGGGCGUGAAGUUUCCGUCAGGCAAGAUGAAUGCGUUCUAGAGCUCUGCUGCACAUUAUGUACCUAGAGUCAACAAGGGGCUGAAAGUAAAAAUGGCCUGAUCCUGGGUAGGUCUCAUUCACCUGCUGUCAUUGGAAAAGGCAUUGGAGUUGUGGGGACCGUGGUGAGUGGAUAAACAAACCUCAUCCAGAACAGGACCUCUAAGAGGGGUUACCGUGAGAGUUACCAGCCCGCACUACAUUGUAGCCCAGCAGCACUGGCUCCGUGUUCAACAGUGCCAUCUUCUCUCAGUAGGAAACCCAAACAGGCUGACAAAUACCAGCGCUUUUCCCUAAUUGGGAGUACAAGUUGUGAGGACUCCUAAUUAUACAAGAACCCUGGAACUGGAGCAGAAAGUCUCAAUAAGGUAAUUCAGGACUUCUGGCCAACCUGGAAGCUGGUAACUCAAGUACUCUUGAUUAAAUUUGGGGAAAAAUAAUUUAAAUUCAUGAUAGUACUUGCUCUUGAGGUAUUAGUAGAAAUGCUAUUUCUGUCAAUAAACAAAAGAGUUUUUUUAAAAAUAAAAAAAAUCCCCUGAAUAUAUCCUCAAACGUGAUGCCAAAGCAAAGAUUGAUAAAAUGCCAAAGAUCUGGCUUAAAAAGACGCAAAG
rnacentral:lncRNA from 10 species